ACUUUAAAAAAAAGAAAACAAAACUACGCGACGUGACGUUAGACACCGAAAAGUCUGUCGCGUGCAGCAGCUCGAGUACAAAAAUGCAUCAAGGAGAUUCAAGAUGACUCGUCCAGAAUGGAACACACUUCUGCUUCCUGCUCACGGAGACCUGGUUGGACUUGUUCAGCUUCACACAGUAUACAUAAAGUUGAUCUUCAUGAAGAGCUUCAAACAGUAGGUGUCAUGUAUUUUUAUUUUGGGUGGCCGGCGUGUCCCCACUUGCUCUUUUUCUUGGCCGCUGUGCCUGUCUGCAUUGUCCAUUUGAAUUUGCUGAAACUCUCCGUACGUCCAACAUGGCCACGUUUUUCUCUUCCUUUCCAUCUGUCAAAUAGCUGUGUGUCUUUCACGGAGCAUUA